GCUCCUGCCAGGAGGGGACAGCUGGGGAGAGUCUGCUGUGGGCUGGACACGAGCCCAGGGAGCCAGGGGGGCUCUUCACCCAGAAAUCAAGGAAUGAGUGUCUUGCCUCAUAAUGCACCUUAAGUCAGUCACAGAGUUGGGAACCAAACAAAUGUGAACUUGACUCCCUGUCUGGAUCUGUAAUCAAAGCACCAACUGCCAGUAAAUGAAAACCUUAAUACAAUAAAUAUCUUUCCACUAUAAAUGCACGACCCAUUUCCCAAGGACAAAAAGAAACAUGGACAGUCAAAGAAUACCAACUCGUGGAAAUAAAUGAGAGGGGAGUCUUGGCUCUCAAUUACACAGAUCCUUUGUCACAGCUCAAGUGUGUUCUUUUGGCCUGAGAAUGAGAUGGUUUUCUUAGUAAGUCAGGCACUGGCAGAGUUCUUUAUCUUCAUCAUUUUAAUGGAGCAUGUCCAUUAUUGGAUGAGUUAAUUUCAGAAAGGGGGCCAAGUUUGGAAGGAUUAAGUGCCAGCUAAAGAAACAACCCUAUAUUGCUUGGGGAGGGACUGGGGGGGAGGAACUUGAUGUAGCUUUCUAUGUGUGUGCUCAUUUCCAAGUGCCUUCAUGAGACAUGACGUGACCAAGGCUGUCAAGUGUUUCGCACAAUAAAUGCAACCACAUUUUAAACACAAUAAAAUGUAAUGAAAUCAGCCCCUUUUAAAGCCACCCACCUUUAGCCCUUUAGCACAGCACAUUAGAGACUUUGUAAUAGAAAAGCAAAAGGAAAGAAUAAAAGGCAUUUAUGUAUCUAUAUCUAUGUAGAUAUAUAAUCCCAAGCAUCUAUACAGGCGUGCAAAUAUUUUCACAUUAGUAAAAAUUAAAAAACAACCAAAACAACCCAGCAGAUUUAAAGCUAUUGCUUAAAAGGCAGAAGUAGAAGAACAUGUGUGCUCAAGGGAGGAAAUCUACAUUGUGGAGCUACAGAUCAAGGGAAGAAACAGGCAACACAUGAUGGUGAGCUCUACUCCUAAAGA